rnacentral:tRNA from 1 species
GGCGACGUAGCCAAGUGGUAAGGCAGGAGUCUGCAAAACUCUUAUACACCGGUUCGAGUCCGGUCGUCGCCUCCA